GCCCCUUACUGAGCACUGGGUACGAGCAGAGGUGUGUGAAGGGUAGGAAAGAGAAUGGGUGUGAGAGGCAUUUCCUAUCUGUAUUUUUUUUCUGUGUCAUGGUAACACACCUCCCACCCCUGUAGCAUUUAAUAAGAUUGCUUUAAGUUUCCUCCUAGUGCACAAGGGGAGGGGAAAAGUCCCUGGCUAAACCCAGAAUGCCAUUUUGUGGCAAUUUAUGAACAAACAAGCUUCCCAUCAAACCAAUCCUUAGAAAUGUCACUCCAGCCUGGCACUGAGCAGAGAUUAAACGAUGGAUUGUCAACCUUCCUUUUUUAUUUGAUGUUUUGAAUUUCACUGUUCCUCUCUUUCAUUAAAAAUGAACUAGAGGGGAAAAAAAAAAAAAAAAAAAAAAAAGCAGAAUAAAAUAGAAGCCUUUUACAUCUAAAAGUCAAGAUAAUUAUCUCUUAUACCCAACCCACUCCUCCAAGACUCUGAAUGAAGCCAUCAUUAAAAUCUGUGUCCAUCUGGUGACUUUUCCACAGCUAAUUAGGUGAAGAAGCCGGUGCUAAGAGAAGAUGAGAAGAGACACCGUGGGAGACGGCCACUUUGGCAAGCUGCUCACCAAGGCCAUUUCAUGGCAUUGGGGCUGGGAAAAAAAAGUAGAAAGCGGAUGCAAAAGACAGCAGGCACUCAGCCAGCCUACUAAAGACUCUCCACCAGAUACCCAUCUGCUGCGUUUGUUAGAGCUUGUCACCCUAACACCUAGGGGCUGAAAGGUACCGAUUCCUCCUGCGUCCAGAUGGAUGGUUCGUGGGACAUCCCCUGCUCCUCCCGGCAUGGCACCAGCUCUACAGUUGACACUUAGAGGGCUGCCAAUUUCAGGAUAGCCACAAACUUACAGGGAGACAACAGGUCCUGUGGGAACCAUCCAAAGCUGAACGUUGUCCUGUUAUGAUGUGAGCAGAGCAAUGUGCAGGGUACACGGAUUGCACUCCAGGUACAGUACUCCAGGCAGCAUAAAUCUCUGAGUGCUGAUCCCUUCUUUAGGAUCACGGGGGGAAAAUUCAGCCGCCCUUACAUCUGAAAGAGAUUGGAUCUCAUAUCAAGGACAAUGGGCAAGUAUCUGAGUCUGGCGACUGAGGACGUAAGUCCCUUAAUGAUAGGGCAUCGAGGACCCAGGAGUUCUGGUCAUUUAUACACACAUGCCACACUGCCUAGGGUCAAGGACAACUGGUUGAUGGAUGCCAGCCUUUCAGAGCUCUCUGUCCAGCCUGUAGCUCACUCAUUCAACAUAGUUUUCCCUUGUAGAUACAGCUGGCAGAAGCAUUAUACCCUUUUUCACAAAAAUCCUAGGGCUCACAGCCCCAUAGCUCAUAGCCUCAUAACCCACAGUAGGAUACACUGCACUCCGGUUUUGUGACUGGGCAUGCAAGUAAUUCCUGGUGAUGACAUCUCCUGCGUGUUUGUAACCUCCUUCCACAACUGCAUGCACAUUCAUCACAGGAAUGCGAAAGGCCCUAGUGAUUUUUGAAGGCUUUUCUACUAUGCCACUUGGUCCCUGCUGGCUUAACCGUCGAGCCCCACUGCUUUGCUGCUCAACCAUCUCUAUUGAGCUGUGCUGUUUGAGAAUAUAAGCCCCUGAAAGUAAUAACACUGCCUUCCUUACUCCCUCUCCCUGGAAAAUGUCUGCCUCGGAUGGCACAAUUGCCUUAAUAUAGUUAUAAUUCUAGAAGGAUUGUAACGAGUGAGUAAUACGAUAACUUCCCAAUCUUCUCAAACAGAUUUAACAGAGGCCACAAAGACUCUGACAAAAGGAAAGCAGGACACGGUGACCCAAAAGGUCUUGGCUGUCUUUAAUUUCUCUGAUUGAAUUCAUGAGAGGAGAAAAUUACUGGAAAGAUUUUCAUUUUCAUUUACUUCCAAAGUCUGGGUCCAAAUGUUAAGAGAGCCCAGAAGGGUUAAUGUUCACCAGAGUUCAUCUUCAGCCAAAGACUC